AUUGAACGCUGGCGGCAUGCUUUACACAUGCAAGUCGAACGGCAGCGCGGGGCAACCUGGCGGCGAGUGGCGAACGGGUGAGUAAUAUAUCGGAACGUACCCAAGAGUGGGGGAUAACGUAGCGAAAGUUACGCUAAUACCGCAUACGAUCUAUGGAUGAAAGUGGGGGAUUCGCAAGAACCUCAUGCUCCUGGAGCGGCCGAUAUCUGAUUAGCUAGUUGGUAGGUAAAGGCCUACCAAGGCUACGAUCAGUAGCUGGUCUGAGAGGACGACCAGCCACACUGGGACUGAGACACGGUCCAG
rnacentral:rRNA from 1 species